rnacentral:rRNA from 1 species
UUGCGGUUAAAAAGCUCGUAGUUGGAUUUCUGUCGAAGACGGUCGGUCCGCUCUUUGAGCGUGUAUCUGAUUCGGUUUUGGCAUCCUCGUGGGGAACGUAACUGUGCUUGAUUGCAUGGUGCGGAAUUCACGACUUUUACUUUGAGGAAAUUAGAGUGUUCACGGCAGGCAAGCGCCUUGAACACAUUAGCAUGGAAUAAUAAUAUAGGACUUUGGUUCUAUUUUGUUGGUUUCUAGGACUAAAGUAAUGAUUAAUAGGGAUAAUUUGGGAAGCAUUUGUAUUAAACGCGUCAGAGGUGGAAUUC